GAUGAACGCUAGCGGCAGGCCUAAUACAUGCAAGUCGGACGGGAUCCAUUGAUAGCUUGCUCUCAAUGGUGAGAGUGGCGCACGGGUGCGUAACGCGUGAGCAACCUGCCUCCAUCAGGGGGAUAGCCUCUCGAAAGAGAGAUUAACACCGCAUAAUAUCAACAGUUCGCAUGUUCAGUUGAUUAAAUAUUUAUAGGAUGGAGAUGGGCUCGCGUGACAUUAGCUAGUUGGUAGGGUAACGGCUUACCAAGGCGACGAUGUCUAGGGGCUCUGAGAGGAGAAUCCCCCACACUGGUACUGAGACACGGACCAGACUGCUACGGGAGGCAGCAGUAAGGAAUAUUGGUCAAUGGGCGGAAGCCUGAACCAGCCAUGCCGCGUGCAGGAUGACUGCCCUAUGGGUUGUAAACUGCUUUUGUCCAGGAAUAAACCUAAAUACGAGGAUUUAGCUGAAUGUACUGGAAGAAUAAGGAUCGGCUAACUCCGUG
rnacentral:rRNA from 1 species